UGGGGAAUAUUGCACAAUGGGGGAAACCCUGAUGCAGCGACGCCGCGUGAAGGAAGAAGUAUCUCGGUAUGUAAACUUCUAUCAGCAGGGAAGAAAAUGACGGUACCUGACUAAGAAGCCCCGGCUAACUACGUGCCAGCAGCCGCGGUAAUACGUAGGGGGCAAGCGUUAUCCGGAUUUACUGGGUGUAAAGGGAGCGUAGACGGAUGGGCAAGUCUGGAGUGAAAGCCCGGGGCUCAACCCCGGGACUGCUUUGGAAACUGUCCGUCUUGAGUGCCGGAGAGGUAAGCGGAAUUCCUAGUGUAGCGGUGAAAUGCGUAGAUAUUAGGAGGAACACCAGUGGCGAAGGCGGCUUACUGGACGGUAACUGACGUUGAGGCUCGAAAGCGUGGGGAGCAAACA
rnacentral:rRNA from 1 species